ACGGAGUUUCCACCAUAUGCUGCUUCUCUUUACUGCCAUGGUUAUUUAUAGAUCUACUGCAAAAUUUAAAGACAACUUAGUGAUGGGAAAAGUCAGGACUAAGAGUUAGGAGGAUUAUGUUCAGCAUCAGCUCUGCCAUCAUGUGCUGUUUGGGAUCUCAGAUGCCUAUACAACAGCUUAGCCACUUGCCAAGGAGUCAUCAGCCUUGAUCCUGCUUCUGAAGAUAUCAGAGGGAGUCAUCAGAAGCACGUCCUAAUUAUAUUACCAGCUACUCUCCAAGAAGCUACUCUAAGAGAAAACCUGCAAAGUGCAGCAGUCCCAGAAAAGAAGAUGAAGAUUAAAGAAGAAGGAGGAUAUUUAGAAAUGAUUAAUGUUGGUCAGUUUCAUCAGUUCGAAGUCUGUUAUCAGAUACCUGUUAUAUUUACUAUGGCACUUUGAACACAAGUUACUUUAAUUCUAGUCUUUGCAGACUUAAUGCACAAAUCUUAAAAGGCAAAAAAAGUUCCAAGAGAAAAUAUGCCUUUUAAGAGACCUCUAAAUAUGUUAUAAAAUGUAGCUUCUGUCUAAGAAGAGACUGAUUCUUUGAGGAAAAUGGUAGAGAGUAGGCUCCCUGGAUACACAGAAUUGUCCCAUUCAUUCACUGAAAACACACAUGACCAGAGGAGCUGUAGGUAAAGUUAU
rnacentral:lncRNA from 1 species